ACCAAGAAACUACAACAGCGCAGCGCUUCAUUAGAGGACUAAAGUGACCACUUCAUAAGAUUGUGAUUCAAGUUUAAGCAGAGAAAGCAUAUAUAGGCUGUUUUCGAAGAAUUAUUAGAGCUUUAGACGUCUCCUUUGUCCAAACACGAUAAUAAACAACUGUGCUUAGUGUUUGAUGAAGACUACUGCUGUGGAUAAUCAAAUUUUGGUGUCACUGGUGCAAGAGAGAGUUCGUCAUUGCUUUUGAGCAGUACAGCUACUCCUGACAAAUUUAAACUACCGAGUUUAGCGCUCAUUGGAUUAUAAUACCUUCGAGCAAAACCUUUUCAUUGUUAUAUUUUUAUAGCUUCAAUUUCUCGAAAGUAUUAUAUAUAUAAAUCUUAUAUAAUUUGUGAUUAUCUGUCACGUAAGAUCCUAGUGCAAAUUUAAAUGAUCUUUGUGUAAACUAAGGCAAUUUAUAUGUACCGGCACGAUCUUCGUUUUCAACAAUACCUCAUUGUAAAUUCAAUUAUUCUAUUGUUGUCUUAAUGGGUAUUUCAUCACCCGAAUCGUACUAUAAAAGAACGUGCGAAGUUGUGUCAAUAUUCAGUUUAAGCAAAGGUGUCUUCAAUCGUCUUCAAGUGUCUUCAAGUUCAGAUUACAUUUCUAGAAGGAUGUUGCAGAAAAAAACUUUAAUUGUCAUGCUCGUUGUGCUUCUAAUCGCCAACGAACUGCCAGGCAGCAGCGCUGCUGAUACAAAUUGUCCAAACCCUGAAGCAAAUGAUGCCCCCCAGGGAAUCGACGACGCACCUAAAGUUUCACAUGAUGAGAAUGUUUCACGUCGUAGUCCAGGCAUCCAUGAUUGAGGUUUGGGUAAAAGAGUCACACCUCAGCAAUUGCAAAUUUAAAAAUUAUAUUAAAAUAUGUCAAUAUGUUUUUGUGAAAUACCAAACAGACAUUAAAUAAAAAUAAAUACAAAUAGCAUGCAAAAAAAAUA